ACGAGCGAGAGAGAGCUUGCUUUCUCGAGCGAGUGGCGAACGGGUGAGUAACGCGUGAGGAACCUGCCUCAAAGAGGGGGACAACAGUUGGAAACGACUGCUAAUACCGCAUAAGCCCACGGCUCGGCAUCGAGCAGGGGGAAAAGGAGUGAUCCGCUUUGAGAUGGCCUCGCGUCCGAUUAGCUAGUUGGUGAGGUAACGGCCCACCAAGGCGACGAUCGGUAGCCGGACUGAGAGGUUGAACGGCCACAUUGGGACUGAGACACGGCCCAGACUCCUACGGGAGGCAGCAGUGGGGAAUAUUGCACAAUGGGGGAAACCCUGAUGCAGCGACGCCGCGUGGAGGAAGAAGGUCUUCGGAUUGUAAACUCCUGUUGUUGGGGAAGAUAAUGACGGUACCCAACAAGGAAGUGACGGCUAACUACGUGCCAGCAGCCGCGGUAAAACGUAGGUCACAAGCGUUGUCCGGAAUUACUGGGUGUAAAGGGAGCGCAGGCGGGAAGACAAGUUGGAAGUGAAAUCUAUGGGCUCAACCCAUAAACUGCUUUCAAAACUGUUUUUCUUGAGUAGUGCAGAGGUAGGCGGAAUUCCCGGUGUAGCGGUGGAAUGCGUAGAUAUCGGGAGGAA
rnacentral:rRNA from 1 species